rnacentral:rRNA from 1 species
UACGUAGGGUGCGAGCGUUAAUCGGAAUUACUGGGCGUAAAGUGUGCGCAGGCGGCAGAGCAAGUCGAGUGUGAAAGCCCCGGGCUUAACUUGGGAAUUGCGCUCGAAACUACUUUGCUGGAGUGUGGCAGAGGAAGGUGGAAUUCCACGUGUAGCGGUGAAAUGCGUAGAGAUGUGGAGGAACACCAGUGGCGAAGGCGACUUCUUGGCCUGUUCUUGACGCUGAGGCGCGAAGGCGUGGGGAGCGAACAGG